AGUCUUCGGACUUUAGUGGCGGACGGGUGAGUAACGCGCGAGGAUCUGCCUACAGGACUGGGACAACAGCUGGAAACGGCUGCUAAAACCGGAUGUGCCGAGAGGUGAAAUAUUUAUAGCCUGUAGAUGAGCUCGCGUCUGAUUAGCUAGUUGGUGAGGUAAGGGCUCACCAAGGCGACGAUCAGUAGCUGGUCUGAGAGGACGAUCAGCCACACUGGGACUGAGACACGGCCCAGACUCCUACGGGAGGCAGCAGUGGGGAAUUUUCCGCAAUGGGCGAAAGCCUGACGGAGCAAUACCGCGUGAGGGAGGAAGGUCUGUGGAUUGUAAACCUCUUUUGAUAGGGAAGAAGUUCUGACGGUACCUAUCGAAUCAGCAUCGGCUAACUCCGUGCCAGCAGCCGCGGUAAUACGGAGGAUGCAAGCGUUAUCCGGAUUUAUUGGGCGUAAAGCGUCCGUAGGUGGUUAUUCAAGUCUAUUGUCAAAGCCUGGGGCUUAACCCUGGAGAGGCGGUGGAAACUGAAUAACUAGAGUGCGGUAGGGGCAGAGGGAAUUCCCAGUGUAGCGGUGAAAUGCGUAGAUAUUGGGAAGAACACCGGUGGCGAAAGCGCUCUGCUGGGCCUGCACUGACACUGAGGGACGAAAGCUAGG
rnacentral:rRNA from 1 species